AGAGUUUGAUCCUGGCUCAGAACGAACGCUGGCGGUACGCCUAAUACAUGCAAGUCGCACGAGAAAGUCUUCGGACGAGUAGAGUGGCGCGCGGGUGAGUAAUACGUAGGUGACCUUCCCCUUUGAGCGGGAUAACCCGAAGAAAUUCGGGCUAAUACCGUAUAAGCAGUGUGAAUCUGAAAGUAACACUGGAAAUGAUGGCCUCUGCUUGCAAGCCAUCGCUGAGGGAUGGGCCUGCGUGGCAUUAGCUAGUUGGUGAGGUAACGGCCCACCAAGGCUACGAUGUCUAGCCGGUCUGAGAGGACGAUCGGCCACACUGGAACUGAGACACGGUCCAGACUCCUACGGGAGGCAGCAGUAGGGAAUAUUGCGCAAUGGGCGAAAGCCUGACGCAGCGAUACCGCGUGGGUGAGGAAGGUCUUCGGAUUGUAAAACCCUGCCACGGUGGAACAAUGGCGGUGAUUCGAACAGGGUCACCGUUUGAUGGUACACCGAGAGGAAGCACCGGCCAACUUCGUGCCAGCAGCCGCGGUAAUACGAAGGGUGCAAGCGUUGUUCGGAUUUAUUGGGCGUAAAGCGCGCGCAGGCGGGCAAAUAAGUCAGGUGUGAAAUCUCGGAGCUCAACUUCGAACGUGCGCCUGAAACUGUUUGUCUAGAAUACUGGCGGGGGUAGGGGAAUUUCACAUGUAGGGGUAAAAUCCGUAGAUAUGCGAAGGAACACCGGAGGCGAAAGCGCCUACCUGGACAGUCAUUGACGCUGAGGCGCGAGAGCGUGGGGAGCAAACAGGAUUAGAUACCCUGGUAGUCCACGCUGUAAACAAUGUGCACUAGGCAUUGCGGGUAUUGACCCCCGCAGAGCCGGAGCUAACGCAUUAAGUGCACCGCCUGGGGAGUACGGUCGCAAGAUUAAAACUCAAAGGAAUUGACGGGGACCCGCACAAGCGGUGGAUUAUGUGGUUCAAUUCGAAACCACGCGAAGAACCUUACCUGGGCUUGAAGUCCCACGAAUUCCCCCGAAAAGGGGAAGUGCCCUCACGGGAAUGUGGCGAUAGGCGCUGCAUGGCUGUCGUCAGCUCGUGUUGUGAAAUGUUGGGUUAAGUCUCGCAACGAGCGCAACCCCUAUCCUUAGUUGCCAGCAUUAAGUUUGGGCACUCUAGGGAGACCGCCUGGGUUAACCAGGAGGAAGGUGGGGACGACGUCAAGUCCUCAUGGCCCUUAUGUCCAGGGCUACACACGUAAUACAAUGGUAGGUACAGAGGGAUGCGAACUCGCGAGGGGGAGCAAAUCUCAAAAAACCUAUCUCAGUCCGGAUUGGAGUCUGCAACUCGACUCCAUGAAGUUGGAAUCGCUAGUAAUCGUGGAUCAACACGCCACGGUGAAUACGUUCCCGGGUCUUGUACACACCGCCCGUCACACCAUGGGAGUCCGUCUUACCUGAAGCCGUGGCCCUAACCCGCAAGGGAAGGGAGCGUCUACGGUCGGACUGAUGACUGGGGUGAAGUCGUAACAAGGUA
rnacentral:rRNA from 1 species